rnacentral:rRNA from 1 species
GAUGAACGCUGGCGGCGUGCCUAAUACAUGCAAGUCGAGCGAACGGACGAGAAGCUUGCUUCUCUGAUGUUAGCGGCGGACGGGUGAGUAACACGUGGAUAACCUACCUAUAAGACUGGGAUAACUUCGGAAAACCGGAGCUAAUACCGGAUAAUAUUUUGAACCGCAUGGUUCAAAAGUGAAAGACGGUCUUGCUGUCACUUAUAGAUGGAUCCGCGCUGCAUUAGCUAGUUGGUAAGGUAACGGCUUACCAAGGCAACGAUGCAUAGCCGACCUGAGAGGGUGAUAGGCCACACUGGAACUGAGACACGGUCCAGACUCCUACGGGAGGCAGCAGUAGGGAAUCUUCCGCAAUGGGCGAAAGCCUGACGGAGCAACGCAGCGUGAGUGAUGAAGGUCUUCGGAUCGUAAAACUCUGUUAUUAGGGAAGAACAUAUGUGUAAGUAACUGUGCACAUCUUGACGGUACCUAAUCAGAAAGCCACGGCUAACUACGUG